CCUACGGGUGGCAGCAGUGAGGAAUAUUGGUCAAUGGACGAGAGUCUGAACCAGCCAAGUAGCGUGAAGGAUGAAUGCCCUAUGGGUUGUAAACUUCUUUUAUAUGGGAAUCAAAUUUUCCACGUGUGGGAUUUUGUAUGUACCCUAUGACUAAGGAUCGGCUAACUCCGUGCCAGCAGCCGCGGUAAUACGGCGGAUGCGAGCGUUAUCCGGAUUUAUUGGGUUUAACGGGGGCGUAGGUGGAUUUUUAAGUCAGUGGUGAAAGUUUGCGGCUCAACCAUAAAAUUGCAGUUGAAACUGGCAGACUUGAGUACAGUAGAGGUGGGCGGAAUGCGUGGUGUAGCGGUGAAAUGCUUAGAUAUCACGAAGAACUCCGAUUGCGAAGGCAGCUCACUGGGCUGCAACUGACACUGAGGCUCGAAAGUGUGGGUAUCAAACAGGAUUAGAUACCCUUGUAGUC
rnacentral:rRNA from 1 species